UACAGAGGGGCAAGCGUUGUUCGGAAUUACUGGGCGUAAAGGGCGCGUAGGCGGCCUUCUAAGUCGAACGUGAAAUCCCUGGGCUCAACCCAGGAACUGCGUCCGAUACUGGAAGGCUUGAAUCCGGGAGAGGGAUGCGGAAUUCCAGGUGUAGCGGUGAAAUGCGUAGAUAUCUGGAGGAACACCGGUGGCGAAGGCGGCAUCCUGGACCGGCAUUGACGCUGAGGCGCGAAAGCCAGGGGAGCGAACGGG
rnacentral:rRNA from 1 species